AAGCCCACAUAUGUCUGAAACUCCGAUUUCGUCAUGGGUCUUUGAUUCGACGAAGGCUUCUCGAUUUUUGGCGCCGGCGACGAGGAAGCAGGUCUUGCCGUUGAGGGAGGCUGUUGCUGCGGCGGCGGCUACGGCUAGGGUUCGGCAUUUGCUGCAGCAGCGGCGGAAGCCUUUAAUCCGGUUGGGCGUCAAGGCUCGUGGCUGCUACGGCUUGUCUUAUACCCUCAAUUAUGCCGGCAAUCUCCCGGAUAUUUCUUGAUUCUGUUCAUCUUGUCGCCAUUCUAUUUGAUCUUCUUUCUCUCUGGGGGAAAUUCUAGAUGUGAAAGGAAAGUUCGACAGCUGGUCGAGGAAAAGGGUGUAAGUAUAGCUGUUGAGCCAAAGGCCCUGAUGCAUGUCAUUGGGACCAAGAUGGAUUUCAUAGAUGAUGAACACAGGUCAGAGUUUGUGUUCGUCAAUCUGAACUCAAAAGGGCAGCGUGGAUGAGGUGAAUCUUUCAUGACGACAUCUAGAUCUAGUUAGGAAACAACGCCAGAAACAGAGUUCAAGAUGAACCAGGAACAUAGUAUCUAUCAUUCUUACACUGAAUAUUACACCGAACAGCUGCUAGAGAAUGAGCCCCAGUUACAAAGCAAUAUGCAAAAAAAAAAACAUACAAAGGGUUGCCUGUUGGCGUAGGGGGUGACAAAGCUUGAACUUAUCUGGCGGUUGAACUCUGCUUCAUUCUACAAUGUGCUAAUACCUGCCUUUUUCC